UCAAAGCAACACCACCACAGACAGCUUGCCAACGGACAUCAAUGAAACCUUUUCCAGUACUUUUGUAUAGCUGCUUGUAUAGCAUGAAGUGAUCAGUACUUUCCUUGUAUCUCUGAGAUUGUGUUUUGAAUCAGAUGUAGGUGUGAAAUUGAAAAGGAAAUAAGAAUUACAACCUCCUCCUCAACUACACUGGCAACAAAAUGUUAUCCAUGGCUCUGGUUACUUUGACUGGAAAGGAUUGGAGUGUCUAUAUAAGGUGGGAGGUCAGAAGAUGCAUGAGUUUUCAGUAUUUAGUUACAGCUAUUUUGUCAGUGACUUAAAUGAAGACAAUGAAGAUUUUUGCCUUUAAUGAGGAUAAGAAUGACCCAAGAUUGGAUGGAUCACAGGCUCCAGGGAGAAGUUGAAGACAUUUCCUUUUUCACUCAACUUAACUCUGCUUUAAAUUCCUAAUUUGCUUAGUUCAAUAGUUCAAUCACAAACAUCGCUUUUUCUUCAUUCGCCGGUUCGAUUGAAUCCCAGGUUUUAUAUUCAUAACUACAUACCAAUGUAUAUGUGAACACAGAAAGUAUAAGUAUGAUUAAAUAUGUAUUCUUGAACAUUAAUAAUUUACCUUUGUUAUGCUAUAGCGGACAUUAGAUGUUGUAGUUAAUUUUGGAUGGCCAUCUACAUCUUACGAGGCAGUUUUGGAUGUAAUGUAAUUUCUAAUACUGCCUGGUAAUGAUGAUGAUGACUUUCUGCAGGCCUAAUUUAGAGAGCAUAAUUACAGUAGUUUUGUAGUUUAUAUGUGUGCAGUAUAAUAAGCAAUUCACACACUGACUGGCUAUUAAACCUUUAAAUUGUUAGACAGUAAAAAAACAUUAAAUUCUGCAAUUAAGUACAUCAAAUCAUUUUAGGUGAUGGGAGAUUUUUGUAAAAAUGGCAUUUCCAAAUGCUCAAAACCUAUGUCCUACAUGUAAAGAGAUUACAAUAGAUUGUUGAUUAAGGUCUACUUGGCUCCCCGAGCACAUCUUACCUGGCAGUGCUGGGCUGUAACAAGUGUUCUAACACUGUCUGGUAAUGAUGUUCUCUGAGUGCUGCACAAACAACCAGACAAACAAGAUCAACAGUUAAUUAGAGUAUCUACAUUGUUCAAGCCUUUAACAGGUAUCUGUCUCUGGUAUAUUCAAUAUUUUGCUCAUGGCAUUAUCAAGUGGAGAAUUAAUCAAAUAACAAUGAAUACAGAAGUCUUCUUUUAUGAAAAGGUCAAUAUUUUGGGGGGUUAAAAAAAGGUCCAACUUAUUAGGGAGUUUAGGGAACCAAUGGUAAUAUGUGUCACCCUUAGCAGUUAACAACAUCCAGAGAAGCAGUAGAGAGGUAUGGGUCGGGUAGAUGAUUUAAGAAGGAUAUUUAUUGAAGGUAGAUAGAUAGGCACCUCCUCUAUUCUCUUUGUCCAUUGUAUUGAUUUUCCACCCUACCCUGUAGUUAAAGAAUACUAGUCAAAUGACUGCAUAACAGAGCAGCUCCCUCUCCCCCUCCCCCAGUUUGAGGUUGUACUGUACCUCCAGUGUCUCCUGAUUGGCUGUGCUUACUGUACCUGCAUGGAACAUUGAAUGUCUGACACCUGAGAUCUGUGUGAGAAAAAUAAACAGAACAAUCACAAUAGCA